CGUGCAGGCGGUCGACUAAGUCUGGCGUGAAAGCUCUCGGCUAAACCGGGAGAGGUCGUUGGAUACUGGUUGACUAGAGGACGGUAGAGGCGAGUGGAAUUCCGGGUGUAGUGGUGAAAUGCGUAGAGAUCCGGAGGAACACCAGUGGCGAAGGCGACUCGCUGGGCCGUACCUGACGCUGAUACGCGACAGCAUGGGGAGCGAACGGGAUUAGAAACCCCGGUAGUCCAUGCCGUAAACGAUGCCAGCUAGGUGUUCAAGACGCGCAAGCGGCUGGGGUACCGAAGCAAACGCGAUAAGCUGGCCGCCUGGGGAGUACGGUCGCAAGGCUAAA
rnacentral:rRNA from 1 species